GGCCCCGUAGCUUAACUGAAUAGAGCAUCUGACUACGGAUCAGAAGGUUGGGGGUUUGAAUCCCUUCGGGGUCA
rnacentral:tRNA from 1 species